rnacentral:Y_RNA from 1 species
GGCUGGUCCAAGUGCAGUGAUGUUUACAACUAACUGAUCACAACUAGUUGCAGAUUUCUUUGUUCCUUGCCAGUCCCACUGCUUCACUUGACUAGCCAUAA